rnacentral:tRNA from 1 species
GGGGCUGUGGCGCAGUUGGUAGCGCACUUCCAUGGCAUGGAAGGGGUCAGGGGUUCGAGUCCCCUCAGCUCCACCC